ACGAACGCUGGCGGCAGGCUUAACACAUGCAAGUCGAAGGUGAAGCGGGACUUCGGUCCCGUGGAAACUGGCGCACGGGUGAGUAACGCGUGGGAAUCUACCCCGGGGUGGGGAAUAACCAUUGGAAAUGAUGGCUAAUACCGCAUACGCCUUAAGAGGGAAAGCUAUAUGCGCCCUGGGAUGAGCCCGCGUCGGAUUAGGUAGUUGGUGGGGUAACGGCCUACCAAGCCAACGAUCCGUAGCUGGUCUGAGAGGAUGAUCAGCCACACUGGGACUGAGACACGGCCCAGACUCCUACGGGAGGCAGCAGUGGGGAAUAUUGGACAAUGGGGGAAACCCUGAUCCAGCCAUGCCGCGUGCGUGAAGAAGGCCUUAGGGUUGUAAAGCGCUUUCGGCGGGGAAGAUGAUGACGGUACCCGCAGAAGAAGCCCCGGCUAACUCCGU
rnacentral:rRNA from 1 species